rnacentral:tRNA from 1 species
GCAUUAGUAGCUCAGUAUUUAGAGCGUCGGUCUUGUAAACCGAAAGUCGGAGGUUAAAUUCCCCCUACUGCU